rnacentral:rRNA from 1 species
AUUGAACGCUGGCGGCAUGCCUUACACAUGCAAGUCGAACGGCAGCGGGGGAGAAGCUUGCUUUUCCUGCCGGCGAGUGGCGAACGGGUGAGUAAUACAUCGGAACGUGCCCUGUAGUGGGGGAUAACUAGUCGAAAGAUUAGCCAAUACCGCAUACGACCUGAGGGUGAAAGUGGGGGACCGCAAGGCCUCAUGCUAUAGGAGCGGCCGAUGUCUGAUUAGCUAGUUGGUGGGGUAAAGGCCUACCAAGGCGACGAUCAGUAGCUGGUCUGAGCGGACGAUCAGCCACACUGGGGCUGAGACACGGCCCAGCCUCCUACGGGAGGCAGCAGUGGGGAAUUUUGGACAAUGGGCGAAAGCCUGAUCCAGCAAUGCCGCGUGUGUGAAGAAGGCCUUCGGGUUGUAAAGCACUUUUGUCCGGAAAGAAAUGGCUCUGGUUAAUACCUGGGGUCGAUGACGGUACCGGAAGAAUAAGGACCGGCUAACUACGUGCCAGCAGCCGCCGUAAGAC